CCCUUAGAUGUUCUGGGCUGCACGCGUGUUACAAUCGGGAGUACAACAAGAUUGCGAAUCCUAGUGGAUGAGUGGUUCUUCGAAAUUUUCUGAAGACUGGGAUAGUUGAUUGAAAUUAUUCAACUCAAACGAGGAAUUCCUUGUAAUUGUAAUUCAUUAUAUUGUAAUGAAUACGUCCCUGCCCUUUGUACACACCGCCCGUCGCUCCUACCGAUUGAACGAUCCGGUGAAUUAUUUGGAGUAGCUCUGGAAGUUGCAGAACUUCCUAUGUCACGAAAUUUUGUAAACCUUAUCGUUUAGAGGAAGGAAAAGUCGUAACA
rnacentral:rRNA from 1 species